rnacentral:rRNA from 1 species
AGAGUUUGAUCCUGGCUCAGCGCGAACGCUGGCGGCAUGGCUAAAGCAUGCAAGUCGAACGCGAAUUCACCUUCGGGUGAUAGUAGAGUGGCGAACGGGCGAGUAAUACUUUCCUAACGUACCCCAGGGCCGGGGAUAGCCAGCCGAAAGGCUGGGUAAUACCCGAUGACCCCGCGAGGCCGCAUGGCCUAGCGGGCAAAGGCUUGCUUCCUUGGGAUCGGGGAAAGCACUAUCAGGUAGUUGGUAGGGUAACGGCCUACCAAGCCUAAGACGGUUAGCGGGUGUGAGAGCAUGACCCGCCGCAUCGGGACUGAGACACUGCCCGGACUCCUACGGGAGGCUGCAGCGACGAAUCUUCCGCAAUGGGCGCAAGCCUGACGGAGCAAUGCCGCGUGUGGGAUGAAGCCUUUCGGGGUGUAAACCACUGUCAGGGUUUAGCAACACAAAUGAGCAAACCCAAAGGAAGAGGCGGCUAACUCUGUGCCAGCAGCCGCGGUAAUACAGAGGCCUCGAGCGUUGCGCGGAAUCACUGGGCUUAAAGGGUGCGCAGGCGGAAGCGUAAGUGUCUUGUGAAAGCCCACGGCUCAACCGUGGAACGGCAGGGCAUACUGCGCUUCUUGAGGCUGGUAGGGGCUGCCGGAACUGUAGGUGUAGCGGUGAAAUGCGUAGAUAUCUACAGGAACGCCGAUGGUGAAGACGGGCAGCUGGGCCAGUUCUGACGCUCAUGCACGAAAGCGUGGGGAUCAAACAGGAUUAGAUACCCUGGUAGUCCACGCCGUAAACGAUGCACACGUGGUCUCGGAAACUCUGACGUUCCCGGGACCGAAGUAAAAACGAUGAGUGUGCCGCCUGGGGAGUACGGUCGCAAGAUUAAAACUCAAAGGAAUUGACGGGGGCUCACACAAGCGGUGGAGCAUGUGGCUUAAUUCGAAGCAACGCGAAGAACCUUAUCCAAGGCUUGACAUGCACGGAUUAACUCCCCGAAAAGGGAGCCACACCCUCUGGGUGGAACGUGCACAGGUGCUGCAUGGCUGUCGUCAGCUCGUGCUGUGAAGUGUCGGGUUAAGUCCUCUAACGAGCGAAACCCCUGCCUCUAGUUGCCAUCGGGUCAUGCCGGGCACUCUAGCGGGACUGCCGGUGUUAAACCGGAGGAAGGUGGGGAUGACGUCAAGUCCUCAUGGCCUUUAUGCCUUGGGCUGCACACGUGCUACAAUGGCGACCACAAAGCGACGCAAUGCCGCGAGGCGGAGCAAAUCGCACAAAAGUCGCCCCAGUUCAGAUUGGAGUCUGCAACUCGACUCCAUGAAGUCGGAAUCGCUAGUAAUCGCGGAUCAGCUACGCCGCGGUGAAUAAGUUCCUGAGCCUUGUACACACCGCCCGUCAAGUCAUGGAAGCCGGAAAUACCCAAAGUGGUGGUAAUUCAACCAUCCCUACGGUAGGUUCGGUGACUGGGACUAAGUCGUACAAGGUAGCCGUA